rnacentral:rRNA from 1 species
GACAGAGGUGCCGAGCGUUAGGCGGAAUCACUGGGCUUAAAGCGUGUGUAGGCGGGGGGCUAAGUACCUUGUGAAAUCCCACGGCUCAACCGUGGAACUGCUUGGUAUACUGGGUAUCUUGAGCCACUUAGGGGCAACCGGAACAAACGGUGGAGCGGUGAAAUGCGUAGAGAUCCGGAGGAACACCGAAGGCGAAGGCAGUCUCCUGGCAAGUUACUGACGCUCAGGUGCGAAAGCUAGGGGAGCGAACAGG